rnacentral:rRNA from 1 species
GACAGAGGGUGCAAACGUUGCUCGGAAUUACUGGGCGUAAAGGGCUCGUAGGCGGCCAACUAAGUCAUACGUGAAAUCCCUCAGCUUAACUGGGGAACUGCGUGUGAUACUGGAUGGCUUGGAUUUGGGAGAGGGAUGCGGAAUUCCAGGUGUAGCGGUGAAAUGCGUAGAUAUCUGGAGGAACACCGGUGGCGAAGGCGGCAUCCUGGACCAAUAUUGACGCUGAGGAGCGAAAGCCAGGGGAGCAAACGGG